rnacentral:tRNA from 1 species
UUAGUAGAAGCCAAACAAGAGGCGUAUCAUUGUUAAUGAUAAUAAUGAAGUAAUAUUUCUUCCUCCUAAG